GUUGCAGGAAAAUGCACUUGGCUACUGCCAGAAUGGAAAUCUAUUGAGGAUGAUGCCAUGUUUAUUUUAAGGAAACAAGCCUGGCUCCUGUUAUCCAUGCUUGCUCUUCUAAGUGAGACUUCUUUUCCCUUGGACAGCGUGAACCACGUUUUUGCUUGGUACCCAGGGAGGCAGUGGGGACACCAGAAGAGAACUGCUAGCCACAGUGGCCAUGUGUGCCUGGGUCACCUGAGGACUUGCAGGGGUCAGGCAGACAUCAGUCAGAUAAAAUCUGUUUGCCCUGCCUUGUGCCUCUAAAUGUUACACUCAUGUUUAAAUAACUCACAGCCUCUCUCCCUGAAGGUGGUCAUGGGGCAACCGUACCCCAGUGAGAGGAGAUCAGCAAGCUGGGAAAACAGAAAAUCAUCCUUUAUGCCCGUGAAGACUUGGUGGAAGCUAUAUUUCUACAUGGGUUGUGUUUUGGGGCUCUGGGAUGCAGGGGGAUGCUUUCCCCAGUACUCACAAGCAGGUGGAAGCUUUCUGCAUCUUUUGGCCAGGGAAGUUUUCUGGAAGGGGGGCUGGUGCCAUGGGUCCCAGUCUUCCAUGGCUCCCAGCGAGGAGAUGGACAAAUUAGGGAGGGAUGGCAGUCAGCGUGGCUGCAUGCAGGAUCUUUGCUCACUUUGCUGCUUGUGCCAUUGCUGCAGCUGCUGCCUGCAAAGUUUUGUUUUUUUUUUGUGGUGGUGGCAGAGUGCCUGAGGGGCAGUGGGACACCCCUGCUUUGGCAGAGGGCUCCAGCUGUAGCUGCAGCUCUGCAGCAGAAGGGAAAAGGAGGGGGAGCAGAGGGAGAGAGUACUAGGGCAAAUUCCUAGGAGUGCGUGCACUGGUCUAGACCUUUCCUCCCUUCACUGUAACCUCUGUCUUCCAGCCAUGGCUUCCUGCUUGCAUUAAUUACUCCUCACUCCCUAGAUGCAUUCAUUUCAAGCUACCUUUAGGGUUUAGAGUGCGGAAGCCGGUUGACCAAGGUUGAAGGCAAUUAACAAACAGGUUAUUCUAAAUUAACAGCUUCUUUUAACCAGCUGUCCAGAACUGCUUUGUUUUUCUACAGGAAAAUUAGCAAGGCAAUGCACCUCAGCGAAAAGAUGGAUCGGGAUUUCUUUUGUUAUUGUACUGCCUUUUGCUUCUUUCCUUUUUUUCCCCCUCUUUUAAACUUGUGCCAAUUCAAUACUAAGCACUUCCAGCUUGGAUUUAAAAGGAGUGUUGAAAUAUACUGAUUGCCUAAAUGAAUUGUAAAUGGCAUAGGAUGUUGAGAAAGAGCAGUCCUUUUACUUCCAUUGGCUAUCUUGCACUACAUCAAGAUGGGUUUGCUUUUGAAUGGCGUAUUAAGAUGCCAGUGCUUUCUUCAGGCAUUGAUUUUUAUUUUUUUCUGUCUUGCCUUCCCUCUUCACACAGAUGCUUUUUGCACGGCUGCUAACUGACUUCACUGCUUCAUGAGGCAGUGGAUUUGCAGACAGGAGCAGGCUCAGCCCAUACCCUGAGCCCAGCCAGGAGCCAUGAGGAUGGUGCAAAGCAAAGCUCAGGCUCGUAGGCUUUGAUUCCUGCAAGAGCUUGUUAGCUCAGCCUGGGUGCUCUAAACACACUUUUCUGAUCAGCAGAGAGUGUGAAGUGAUCGAGCUGUUCCCAGAAAUCUGGGAAGAAGAAAGUGCUGUUAAAUCUUUUAAUACUUCCAGAAAUCUUCUCUUUUCUGUGGGUUUUACUA
ensembl:lncRNA